GUACUCGAGCGGCGAACGGGUGAGUAACACGUGAGCAACCUGCCCCAGGCUUUGGGAUAACCCCGGGAAACCGGGGCUAAUACCGAAUAUGACCUUGCACCGCAUGGUGUUUGGUGGAAAGUUUUUCGGCUUGGGAUGGGCUCGCGGCCUAUCAGCUUGUUGGUGGGGUGAUGGCCUACCAAGGCGACGACGGGUAGCCGGCCUGAGAGGGCGACCGGCCACACUGGGACUGAGACACGGCCCAGACUCCUACGGGAGGCAGCAGUGGGGAAUAUUGCACAAUGGGCGGAAGCCUGAUGCAGCGACGCCGCGUGAGGGAUGACGGCCUUCGGGUUGUAAACCUCUUUCAGCAGGGACGAAGCGUAAGUGACGGUACCUGCAGAAGAAGCGCCGGCCAACUACGUGCCAGCAGCCGCGGUAAGACGUAGGGCGCGAGCGUUGUCCGGAUUUAUUGGGCGUAAAGAGCUCGUAGGCGGCUUGUCGCGUCGACCGUGAAAACCUGGGGCUCAACCCCAGGCCUGCGGUCGAUACGGGCAGGCUAGAGUUCGGUAGGGGAGACUGGAAUUCCUGGUGUAGCGGUGAAAUGCGCAGAUAUCAGGAGGAACACCGGUGGCGAAGGCGGGUCUCUGGGCCGAUACUGACGCUGAGGAGCGAAAGCGUGGGGAGCGAACAGGAUUAGAUACCCUGGUAGUCCACGCUGUAAACGUUGGGCGCUAGGUGUG
rnacentral:rRNA from 1 species